rnacentral:rRNA from 1 species
GCCUGUAGCUAUACCACUGCAAGCUGUGAUCUUGUCUGAUCUCACAUAAGCUAAGCAGAGUUGGUUCUUGUUAUACUUGAGUAAAAAUUCCAAAGAAAAAUAUAACUGUUCUGCUU